rnacentral:lncRNA from 1 species
UAUAUAUUUUCAAGUAUUUAAAUGAACUUAAAAGUAUCAUAUAUAUUAUGGAUGUUUUUAUAUAUAUUAAAUUUAAAAUUAAUUAAUAUAUAUAAGUAUAUAAACCUAUUUUAGAUACCCAAAAUACUUCGGUUCGGAUCGGAUUAUGUUUCAGUUUUUCAAAUACAAAAAUUUUGAAUAAUUUGAAUAUUUAAUCAAUUUUGGUUCGGAGUUAAACUACUUAUUCGGAUUGGGAUCAGUCGGUUCUUCGAAUUCAAGUUUUUUUUCCAACCCUAAAUAGUGACAUAAAAAACAAAUAGUAUCAUAUUUUUUUAAAAUACAUCCACGCGGACCAAAAUCUAGUAUUCAUUAAAGCUGAUAAUGAUGAUCACUUGUAGAAAUAUCAUACACUCUUUGCUCUAUUUAUGUAUCAGUGGUUUUUAGUUAGUGAGCUAUUAUACGUGCCUCGUUUCACCUCCUGCCAAUACGCACU